rnacentral:rRNA from 1 species
CCCUUAGAUGUUCUGGGCCGCACGCGCGCUACACUGACGGAUUCAACGAGCUUACCACCUUGGCCGAAAGGUCUGGGUAAUCUCCAAAAUCCGUCGUGAUGGGGAUAGAUUAUUGCAAUUAUUAAUCUUCAACGAGGAAUGCCUAGUAAGCGCAAGUCAUCAGCUUGCGUUGAUUACGUCCCUGCCCUUUGUACACACCGCCCGUCGCUCCUACCGAUUGAAUGGUCCGGUGAAGCGUUUGGACUAUGGUUUUCUGAUGGUCCGCCGUUGGAUUACCGUGGGAAGUUCGUUAAACCUUAUCAUUUAGAGGAAGGAGAAGUCGUAACA